ACUCAAAUGAAUUGACGGGGGCCCGCACAAGCGGUGGAGCAUGUGGAUUAAUUCGAUGCAACGCGAAGAACCUUACCAAGGCUUGACAUGGAGACGACCGGUGUAGAAAUACACCUUUCCUUCGGGACGUCUCACACAGGUGGUGCAUGGUUGUCGUCAGCUCGUGUCGUGAGAUGUUGGGUUAAGUCCCGCAACGAGCGCAACCCUUAUCUUCAGUUACCAGCGGGUAAAGCCGGGAACCCUGGAGAGACUGCCGUGGAUAACACGGAGGAAGGUGGGGAUGAUGUCAAAUCAUCAUGCCCCUUACGCCUUGGGCUUCACACGUGCUACAAUGGUCUUUACAAAGGGAUGCAAAACAGCGAUGUAGAGCGGACCACAAAAAAAGACCCCAGUUCGGAUUGCAGGCUGCAACUCGCCUGCAUGAAGUUGGAAUCGCUAGUAAUCGCGAAUCAGCAUGUCGCGGUGAAUACGUUCCCGGGCCUUGCACACACCGCCCGU
rnacentral:rRNA from 1 species